CGUUAUAUUAAAAAAAAAUAAAAUGGAAAAAAUAUUAGAUGCAUUAAAUGCAAAAAUAAUUGCUGCAAAUAAACAUCAAGAUUUGAUUCAUAAAUAUAAAACAUUAAAUACAGAUGAAGAACGUAUAAUGUUUACUCUCAAUGUUAUGUCAGAAUAUAAUAUAGUUCCUCAAAUAUGUGAUAAUAAAAAAGAUGCAAAAGAAUCUGAAAAAUUAAGGGAACAGGGUAAUAAGAUAUUUGUUUCAACUCCAUUGAAAAAUUAUACUUGUGUAGAAGCACUGAAACUAUAUACUAAAAGCAUAGCUUGUGCUCCUUAUCCAUCUGAACAACUUGCUUUAGCAUAUGCUAAUAGAUCAGCUGUUUUAUUAAAAUUACAUAAAUAUGAAUUAUGCAUUCAAGACAUAGAUAGAACAUUAGCAUUAGCAUAUCCAAAUAAUCUACGUGCUAAGCUUUAUGUGAGAAAAGUUGAAUGUUUAAAUGCACUUAAACAUCCUAAUAUAGAAGACACUAUAAAAGAAGCACAAUAUUGGUUGGAAAAAAUGUCUUUGGAUGACAGAAAAAAAUUAAAUGAAAAAUUAAAAUCUAUAAAAAAUGUGUUACCAUCUCAAAAGUUUAAAAAAGAAAAGUUUAUGAAACAAGCACCGCUUCCUAAGAUAAAGACUCAUAAUAUUGAAGUUCCUUGUGCUUCUGAUGCAAUAACAAUAAAAUAUAAUGACAAAUAUGGUAGACAUAUUGUGGCUACCCGUAAAAUAAGUCCCGGUGAAGUAGUUGCAAUAGAAAAACCUUAUUCAUUAAUUUUAACUCCUGAUAAUAUACAUACUCAUUGUUCAAAUUGUUUAGAAGUAUCUUGGGCUAAUAUACCUUGUGAAUAUUGUACAUAUGCUAUGUAUUGUUCAGAAGAAUGUAAAGCUAUGGAAUGGAAAAAAUAUCAUGAUAUUGAAUGUGCAAUAUUUCCUUCUAUGUUACAAAUGAAUUUUGUUAAAUUAGAUUUAUUUAGUUUGAGACUUGCUAUUCAAGCUGUAAGAGAAGCUACAAGUAUACAAGAAUUAAGAAAAGAAUUAGAAGAAGUUGAUAGUUGUGAAGAUCCUCGUACAAAAGGUUUUUCUAAAAAUGGAAUGUUUCUUAGUGAUAAAUAUAGAAGUUUGUUAGGUCUUAUAACUAACACUGAAAAACGUUCAGUACAAGAUCUUUUUAGAAGAUCCUUAGAUGCAAGCUUUAUUUUAUAUUUUCUGGCAACGUGUAGUAAUAUGUUUGGAAGUCCAUUAAGGAAAGAUUUAUCCGUAUUAAUAAAAAAUGAUAAUGUUACAUUUGUUGGUGGUCUUAUAUUAAGACAUCAACAGUUGAUUCCUAGUAACAUUCACAGUUUCUCCGAAGAAUGUGGAUUAGAUGCAGUUGAACGUGGUAUUGUAGCUAUGCCAUUUUUUAGUCUAAUUAAUCAUAGUUGUAAUCCAAAUAUUUUAAGACAUUCAAGAUCUAAUUACAUGAUCAUUUAUGUUAUAUAUCCUAUUAAAAAAGGCGAACAGAUCUAUUCUUUUUUUUAAGUUAUAUGAUAAUUAUGGUCAACAUUAUGCAAUUACUCCAAAAGAAGAGAGGCAAAAAGAACUUUUGAAACAAUAUUAUUUUAAAUGUAAUUGUCUAGCAUGUCAAGAAGAUUGGCCAUUAUAUUACAAUUUAAAAUCCUUUAAAAGUUUAAUUAAGAA
rnacentral:misc_RNA from 1 species